rnacentral:tRNA from 1 species
GCCGGGGUACCCUAGCCUGGUAGGGGGCAGGCCUGCUAAGUCUGUGGCCAUUUGGCCUCGUGGGUUCAAAUCCCACCCCCGGCG